rnacentral:rRNA from 1 species
CCUACGGGGGGCAGCAGUAGGGAAUAUUGGGCAAUGGGCGAAAGCCUGACCCAGCAACGCCGCGUGUGCGAUGAAGGUCUUCGGAUCGUAAAGCACUUUUCUGGGAGAUGAGAAAGGACAGUAUCCCAGGAAUAAGCCUCGGCUAACUACGUGCCAGCAGCCGCGGUAAAACGUAGGAGGCGAGCGUUAUCCGGAUUUACUGGGCGUAAAGCGCGUGCAGGCGGUUCGGCAAGUUGGAUGUGAAAGCUCCUGGCUCAACUAGGAGAGGUCGUUCA